GACGAACGCUGGCGGCGUGCUUAACACAUGCAAGUCGGACGGUUGGCACUGGAAGGUUCGCUGGAAGGUGCUGAUAGUGGCGGACGGGUGAGUAACGCGUGAGGACAUGUCUGCAGGAGGGGGAUAACGUUUGGAAACGGACGCUAAGACCCCGUAAGCCGGGAGGUGAAAGUGGCGAAAGCCAGCCUGUGGAGUGACUCGCGUCCUAUCAGCUAGUUGGCGGGGUGAAGGCCCACCAAGGCGAUGACGGGUAGCCGACCUGAGAGGGUGGCCGGCCACACUGGAACUGAGAGACGGUCCAGACUCCUACGGGAGGCAGCAGUGGGGAAUAUUGGGCAAUGGGCGGAAGCCUGACCCAGCGACGCCGCGUGGGGGAAGAAGUCUUUCGGGAUGUAAACCCUUGAUGUACGGGACGAAGGAAGUGACGGACCGUACGAGGAAGCCCCGGCAAACUACGUGCCAGCCGCCGCGGUAACAC
rnacentral:rRNA from 1 species